UACGGGGGGGGGCAAGCGUUGUUCGGAAUUACUGGGCGUAAAGGGCUCGUAGGUGGCCAACUAAGUCGAACGUGAAAUCCCCGGGCUCAACCCGGGAACUGCGUCCGAUACUGGGAGGCUUGAAUCCGGGAGAGGGAUGUGGAAUUCCAGGUGUAGCGGUGAAAUGCGUAGAUAUCCGGAGGAACACCGGUGGCGAAGGCGGCUUCCUGGACCGACACUGACGCUGAGGCGCGAAAGCGUGGGGAGCAAACAGG
rnacentral:rRNA from 1 species